GGUUCGGUAGUUCAGUUGGUUAGAAUGCCGCCCUGUCACGGCGGAGGUCGCGGGUUCGAGUCCCGUCCGGACCG
rfam:Hymenobacter mucosus strain DSM 28041 genome assembly, contig: Ga0170424_104